CGGGUGAGUAACACGUGGAUAACCUACCUAUAAGACUGGGAUAACUUCGGGAAACCGGAGCUAAUACCGGAUAAUAUUUUGAACCGCAUGGUUCAAAAGUGAAAGACGGUCUUGCUGUCACUUAUAGAUGGAUCCGCGCUGCAUUAGCUAGUUGGUAAGGUAACGGCUUACCAAGGCAACGAUGCAUAGCCGACCUGAGAGGGUGAUCGGCCACACUGGAACUGAGACACGGUCAAG
rnacentral:rRNA from 1 species